rnacentral:lncRNA from 1 species
CACGUAGGGUGGUGGUAUUACCACCGGAGGAUUGGGGACAAAAGGUGGAGAAACAAUAGGUGGUGUUGGAAUGAUUGGAGGUGACACAAUAGGUGGUGUUGGUGUGAUUGGUGGAUAAACAAUAGGGGGUGAAACAAUAGGUGGUGUUGGUGAUGGUGGUUUUGGAGUGAUUGGUGGAUGGACAAUAGGUGGUGUUGGAGUGAUUGGUGGAUAAACAAUAGGGGGUGAAACAAUAGGGGGUGUUGGUGAUGGUGGUUUUGGAGUGACUGGUGGAUGGACAAUAGGUGGUGUUGGAGUGAUUGGUGGAUAAACAAUAGGGGGUGAAACAAUAGGUGGUGUUGGUGAUGGUGGUUUUGGAGUGAAUGGUGGUGUUGUUGGUGGUUUAGGGGUGGAAGGUGGAGAGACAAUGGGAGGAGGAUGCACUAUAGGAGGUCUUGGUACAUGUGGAGGUUUUACAAUUGGUGGCUUAGGGCCAUGAUGAGAUGGAGGAGGGCAUGGUUUUUGUGGGGGGUGUUUAGGGGUAGAAGGUGGUUUAACAUGUGGAGGGUAUUUAGGGUGUUUAGGGGUAGUAGGUGGUUUCACAUAUGGUGGUUGUUUAGGGUGUUUAGGGGUAGAAGGUGGUUUUACAUGUGGAGGAUCUUUAGGGUGUUUAGGGGUAGAAGGUGGCUUUACAUGUGGAGGUUGUGUAGAAGGUGGUUUUACCUUAGGAGGCAAUUUUGGGUGUUUUGGGGUGGAAGGAGGAUAUGGACAAUAAGGACAUGCAUGGGCAAUGAACAAAGUUCCAAGUUGAAGAAGCAACAAUAAGACUCUAGCAACAUUAAACUUCUCCAUUGGUAAGGAGAGAGGGAAUAACUCUUGCCAAAUGCUACCAAUAGAAUGGUACACUAUGGCA